AUCGCCUACUUCAGGUGGAUCAGAAACUGAAUUCUGAAAUUGUUGAGCGGUUGAAAAGGGAUGAUUUGAGCAGUCAGCAAACCUCAAUCANCAAUCAUUAUUGAUGAGGAUAAGCAAAACAGAUUGCAGUCUGCACUGAGAUCACCUACAGAGCAAAUAGAGGCAGAAGAGCAGAAGAGACUUAUUCAGAUUGCUUGCCAUUGUAUCAAGNAGAACCAGCUUCCAUCUGAGACAAUGCAUGCUAUUCUGCAGUUAUGUUCCACUCUCACCAG
rnacentral:misc_RNA from 1 species